rnacentral:tRNA from 1 species
GGCUUUAUGGUGUAAUGGAUAGCAUCACAGUCUUCGGAACUGUUGGUUGGGGUUCGAGUCCCUAUAAGGCCACCA